UAGCAAUACGAUGGAAAGUCUAGUGGCGAACGGGUGCUUAACACGUGGGCAACCUGCCAAGAAGUGGGGGAUAGCUCGCCGAAAGGCGAAUUAAUACCGCAUGUGAUUAGAGUGGACAUCCAUUCGAAAUUAAAGUCGGGGCAACCUGACGCUUCUUGUGGGGCCCGCGGCCUAUCAGCUAGUUGGUGAGGUAACGGCUCACCAAGGCUUUGACGGGUAGCUGGUCUGAGAGGACGACCAGCCACACUGGGACUGAGACACGGCCCAGACACCUACGGGUGGCAGCAGUCGAGAAUUUUUGACAAUGGGGGAAACCCUGAUCGAGCGACGCCGCGUGGAGGAUGAAGGUCUUCGGAUUGUAAACUCCUGUCAUUGGGGAACAAUGCGUGACGCUUAACUGCCGUUGCGUUGAUAGUACCCGAAGAGGAAGAGACGGCUAACUCUGUGCCAGCAGCCGCGGUAAUACAGAGGUCUCAAGCGUUGUUCGGAUUCAUCGGGCGUAAAGGGUGCGUAGGCGGCGCGGUAAGUCGGGUGUGAAAUCUCGGAGCUUAACUCCGAAACUGCAUUCGAUACUGCCGUGCUUGAGGACUGGAGAGGAGACUGGAAUUCACGG
rnacentral:rRNA from 1 species